rnacentral:rRNA from 1 species
AGCAGCCGCGGUAAUUCCAGCUCCAAUAGCGUAUAUUAAAGUUGUUGCAGUUAAAAAGCUCGUAGUUGAAUUUCGGGAUUUAUCCGUCGGUCGGGCUUUUGGGUCUGUACUGGCGUGAUGGAUUCCUACCUUCUGAAUAACCGGCAUGUCAUUAAUUUGGUGCGCCGGGGAAGCAGGACUGUUACCUUGAAAAAUUAGAGUGCUUAAAGCAGGCUUAUGCCUGAAUACAUUAGCAUGGAAUAAUGAAAUAGGACGGCAUGGUUCUAUUUUGUUGGUUUCUAGGAUCACCGUAAUGAUUAAUAGGGAUAGUUGGGGGCAUUAGUAUUCAAUUGUCAGAGGUGAAAUUCUUGGAUUUAUUGAAGACUAACUUCUGCGAAAGCAUUUGCCAAGGAUGUUUUCAUUAAUCAAGAACGAAAGUUAGGGGAUCGAAGACGAUCAGAUACCGUCGUA